CCCUGCGCGUGCUUACCAUGCAAGUCGAACGAGGUUGCCCUUUGUGAAUCCUUCGGGAGGAACUGUGGGUAUACCGAGUGGCGGACGGGUGAGUAACGCGUGAGCAACCUGCCCUGCAACGGGGGACAACAGUUGGAAACGACUGCUAAUACCGCAUGAGACCACGAAACCGCAUGGUUUUGAGGUAAAAGGAUUUAUUCGAUGCAGGAUGGGCUCGCGUCCCAUUAGAUAGUUGGUGAGGUAACGGCCCACCAAGUCAACGAUGGGUAGCCGACCUGAGAGGGUGAUCGGCCACACUGGAACUGAGACACGGUCCAGACUCCUACGGGAGGCAGCAGUGGGGAAUAUUGGGCAAUGGGGGAAACCCUGACCCAGCAACGCCGCGUGAGGGAAGAAGGUCUUCGGAUUGUAAACCUUUGUCCUAUGGGACGAAAGAAAUGACGGUACCAUAGGAGGAAGCUCCGGCUAACUACGUGCCAGCAGCCGCGGUAAUACGUAGGGAGCAAGCGUUGUCCGGAAUUACUGGGCGUAAAGGGUGCGUAGGUGGUCAUGUAAGUCAGAUGUGAAAGACCGGGGCUUAACCCCGGGGUUGCAUUUGAAACUGUGUGACUUGAGUACAGGAGAGGGAAGUGGAAUUCCUAGUGUAGCGGUGAAAUGCGUAGAUAUUAGGAGGAACACCAGUGGCGAAGGCGACUUUCUGGACUGUAACUGACACUGAGGCACGAAAGCGUGGGGAGCAAACAGGAUUAGAUACCCUGGUAGUCCACGCCGUAAACGAUGGAUACUAGGUGUGGGGCCCGAUAGGGUUCCGUGCCGAAGCAAACGCAUUAAGUAUCCCGCCUGGGGAGUACGAUCGCAAGGUUGAAACUCAAAGGAAUUGACGGGGGCCCGCACAAGCAGCGGAGCAUGUGGUUUAAUUCGAAGCAACGCGAAGAACCUUACCAAGGCUUGACAUCCUCUGACGACUGUAGAGAUACAGUUUCNCUCCGCGCAAAGAGACAGGUGGUNCAUGGCUGUCGNUCAACUCGUGUCGUAAGAUGUNGGUUAGUCCCGCAACAAGUCAACUCUNUGGUAGUAGCAACUNNUAAAGCCGGAAUUCAGUGAGAUGCCGGGGAA
rnacentral:rRNA from 1 species